rnacentral:rRNA from 1 species
GUCCUCAUGUUAGUUUAUGAGGUCAGUCCUGCCCAGUGAGUUUUUAACGGCCGCGGUAUAUUGACCGUGCAAAGGUAGCAUAAUCAUUAGUCUUUUAAUAGGAGGCUGGAAUGAAGGGUUUAACGAAACAUUAACUGUCUCAUUUGUAUUUUUUUGAAUUUGAUUUUUUAGUUAAAAAGCUUAAAUUUUUUUGGUGGACGAGAAGACCCUAUAGAUCUUGACAGCUAUGCUUUAGAUUUAUUUAGCGGGUAAGUUAUUUUUAUUGUUUUUGUUGUUUGGUUGGGGUGACAGGAAAUAUACAUUUAACUUUUUUAUUUUAUAAACAUUUAUUUAUGGUUGUUUGAUCCAUUAUUAUUGAUUAAUAGAUAAAGUUACCUUAGGGAUAACAGCGUAAUUUUCUUUUGGAGUUCUAAUUUACAAGGAAGUUUGCGACCUCGAUGUUGGAUUAAGAUAAUGGCUUGGUGCAGUAGCUAAGCUAAUAGGUCUGUUCGACCUUUAAAUUCUUACAUGAUCUGAGUUCAGACCGG